rnacentral:lncRNA from 1 species
GCUGUUUGCUGCCCAGACUACCUGCCCUGCGGCCUGUUCCCCUCACUCUGCCUCUGGGAGGCAGGAGGCUCCCCUUCGAGGGCUCCCCAUCCACGGCUGCCUCAUCUGGGGACUUACACUUUCAGGUCUACCCUGGCCAGAGACCCCUGGAGACUUCUCCAAGACUCCAGUGGAGGUUGGAGAAAUGACCAGCUAACUCCGCCCAACCACAGGCCAGGUGCUUCCGGCCUGCACCCUUCUGCCCCACGGACCCCUGCACCCGAGUUCUGGAUAUUGGUGAUUAUAUGUGCUGCCUUGAAACAUUCACAGAAGAACUGUAGAUGUCCUGCCUGCCUUGAGUCCAUGUACGUGCAGGAUCUUGUUCCGAUAAGCAGUAGCACGUCUCCCACCAGGUUUGGUCCAAACAUCUGCCUGUCGCCUCUGAGGAAGAGAGGAAGUCUAGGAAGUCUCAUGUCUAUUUCGGCAGCUAUGUGGCAAGUCUCAAGCACUUAA